rnacentral:lncRNA from 1 species
CCAGGCUCUUUGUCAGACUGGCCCAACCACCUCUUUUGUGGGAGCAAAGGCAGCAGUCCCCGGAGAGAGCGGCCUCACCCUGCAGGUUAUGCCUGCGUGGAGCCUGGCCCAUCGCUUGCCGAGCCUCUUUUGAGAUCUGAACUGAUCUGGCCAUGGAAAGACACAGCGUUUGAAAACAAAACACUCCUCUAUAUCACCUUUGAUUUAAUAAGAGGAGGUUUACACAUGAAAAAUGGAAAUGCUUCCCCAAGGGGAGCCGUGCUUGAAGGUCCUAAGGGCUCAGAGCAGGAACGUGGAGUCACAUCUCCCACUCCCACCACUGCCUCCAGCGGCAAUCCCACCAGGACCUCUACUUUCCAGCAACGUGAACUGGGAGACGGGACAUCGGAGGAAACACACACACUGAACCUUCGAUACCAGAGCAGCUGAUCAGCUGGUGCGCCAUGAUAUACAUAUUCAUAACCCGGCGGUUCUAGGAGCCCGGCUAGGCAUAAGGGACUGAUGAGAAAAAAAAGUUGAUUUAUGAUGAUCUCAAAAACAUGGUCUCCAAAGAUGUAUUCUGCAGCUCUGAGACCUCAGGUUUAAGCUCUAUUAAUUUUACAGAGCUGUCUGGGAUUACCCAUCUGUUUAAAGGUUAACUGUCUUCACACUUAUGAAAUGGGUAUUUCUGUUUUGGUUCUUACUUUGUUCCUGUUAAUGCUUUAUAAAAUACAAAACGCAAAGCCUGGCAGAUAGCUUUAAAUCUUCAGCAUGAGACACCUACCUGACCAAUUUUUGAGGCACACAGAGUCUUAUCCAAGUCCUUUUGCAAUGACAACUUGGACAUUCCGCUUCUUUGCACAUCUCAUUUUGAAUACAGUAAAAGGAAACACCAUCCAUGCGGAAUCUUGCAUUUUGGUUCCAUUUGGGUGAAUACUGUGUAGCGUAUGUGUGUGAGUGUUGGGAGUUUCUUCCAGGAUCCCCCUUCCAAUAUUUUUUCUUCAUCACAUAUAAUCCAAAUACAUGCCUUUCAGAAUCUGAACAUGAUUAUGUUCUUAUGUGCAGUUCUGUUACAUUUCCGGGAUUUCAUUUCCUCAUAUAAAAGAGCACAUAAUUUUUCCAUCUUGAUAGUUUUGGAAGUAUGACAACUUGCUUUGCAAAUCUGGUUUUGAACGUUGCCUGUUGAAAAUUCUGUGACCCCUGACAAUUUAUUAGUCACUUUUUUAGCUUUCGGUUCUAUUGUUAAUAGGAUCAACUCACGAAGGUGAUCACUCAUCUUUCUGUAGAUACAAAGCAUUCUACUGCUGCGGAGCGCCAGCAUCACAUCUCCAACGGACCCGCGGCUUCGCCGUGCACAUGCGUGCCCUCCGAAGGCGGGAGGGGGCCUGGUGCGCCGGCGUGGAGGUGGAGCUGCGCGCUCAGUCCACUCUCUCCCGCGUCUCCGGUUGGG